AGGUAGUUAUACGACUGACGGAAGUGGAAUCAACCACAUGAAGUAUAAUCAUUUAAAGAGCCGACCGUCUGGGCUGAUAGA
rnacentral:ncRNA from 2 species